AGGAGCUUGCUCCUUUGAAGUUAGCGGCGGACGGGUGAGUAACACGUGGGUAACCUACCUAUAAGACUGGAAUAACUUCGGGAAACCGGAGCUAAUGCCGGAUAACAUUUGGAACCGCAUGGUUCUAAAGUAAAAGAUGGUUUUGCUAUCACUUAUAGAUGGACCCGCGCCGUAUUAGCUAGUUGGUAAGGUAACGGCUUACCAAGGCAACGAUACGUAGCCGACCUGAGAGGGUGAUCGGCCACACUGGAACUGAGACACGGUCCAGACUCCUACGGGAGGCAGCAGUAGGGAAUCUUCCGCAAUGGACGAAAGUCUGACGGAGCAACGCCGCGUGAGUGAUGAAGGUUUUCGGAUCGUAAAACUCUGUUAUUAGGGAAGAACAAAUGUGUAAGUAACUGUGCACAUCUUGACGGUACCUAAUCAGAAAGCCACGGCUAACUACGUGCCAGCAGCCGCGGUAAUACGUAGGUGGCAAGCGUUAUCCGGAAUUAUUGGGCGUAAAGCGCGCGUAGGCGGUUUCUUAAGUCUGAUGUGAAAGCCCACGGCUCAACCGUGGAGGGUCAUUGGAAACUGGGAAACUUGAGUACAGAAGAGGAAAGUGGAAUUCCAUGUGUAGCGGUGAAAUGCGCAGAGAUAUGGAGGAACACCAGUGGCGAAGGCGACUUUCUGGUCUGUAACUGACGCUGAUGUGCGAAAGCGUGGGGAUCAAACAGGAUUAGAUACCCUGGUAGUCCACGCCGUAAACGAUGAGUGCUAAGUGUUAGGGGGUUUCCGCCCCUUAGUGCUGCAGCUAACGC
rnacentral:rRNA from 1 species